UACGAAGGGGGCUAGCGUUGUUCGGAAUUACUGGGCGUAAAGCGCGCGCAGGCGGUCUUCCAAGUCAGUGGUGAAAGCCCGGAGCUCAACUCCGGAACUGCCAUUGAAACUGUUGGACUUGAGUACGAGAGAGGUGAGUGGAAUUCCCAGUGUAGAGGUGAAAAUUCGUAGAUAUUGGGAAGAACACCGGUGGCGAAGGCGGCUCACUGGCUCGUAACUGACGCUCAGGCGCGACAGCGUGGGGAUCAAACAAGG
rnacentral:rRNA from 1 species